UCAUUAAUGAUUGCGAAUGGUUGCCUUCGGUGCUGGCUCUUGCAAGUGCACGUUGGUGGCUUUCAUCCAAUACCCCUGUGAACCUUUGGCCUCUUGCUAGCUUCGGCUGGCAGAGGAUUUUUACACACUCGAAUGUAAUGAAAACUAUUGUCGUGCGCAAGCACUAAUGUACAACUUUCAACAACGGAUCUCUUGGCUCUCGCAUCGAUGAAGAACGCAGCGAAAUGCGAUAAGUAAUGUGAAUUGCAGAAUUCAGUGAAUCAUCGAAUCUUUGAACGCACCUUGCACCCUUUGGUAUUCCGAAGGGUAUGCUCGUUUGAGUGUCAUUGUACUCUCACACUCUCUGGUCCUUUGGAUUCAGGGAGCGGUGGACUUGGGUGUUUGCUGCUUUCCUGGUGGCUCACCUCAAAUGCGUUAGUGCACCUCUUGGUUGGACAUAGUACGGCGUGAUAAGUAUCUUCGCCGGCACCUCGCAAGAGGGUGGCCGAUUGGGAGCUCUGUGCUUUCAAACCGUCUUCGGACAAUCUUUGACAACUUGACCUC
rnacentral:rRNA from 1 species